UACGUAGGCAGCGAGCGUUGUUCGGAGUUACUGGGCGUAAAGGGUGUGUAGGCGGUUAUUUAAGUUUGGUGUGAAAUCUCCCGGCUCAACCGGGAGGGUGCGCCGAAUACUGAAUGACUUGGAGUGCGGGAGAGGUGAGUGGAAUUCCCGGUGUAGCGGUGAAAUGCGCAGAUAUCGGGAGGAACACCAGUAGCGAAGGCGGCACUCUGGGCCGGUACUGACGCUGAGGAGCGAAAGCGUGGGGAGCAAACAGG
rnacentral:rRNA from 1 species